rnacentral:rRNA from 1 species
UGGGGAAUAUUGGACAAUGGGCGAAAGCCUGAUCCAGCCAUGCCGCGUGUGUGAAGAAGGUCUUCGGAUUGUAAAGCACUUUAAGUUGGGAGGAAGGGCAGUAAGCGAAUACCCUGCUGUUUUGACGUUACCGACAGAAUAAGCACCGGCUAACUCUGUGCCAGCAGCCGCGGUAAUACAGAGGGUGCAAGCGUUAAUCGGAAUUACUGGGCGUAAAGCGCGCGUAGGUGGUUCGUUAAGUUGAAUGUGAAAGCCCCGGGCUCAACCUGGGAACUGCAUCCAAAACUGGCGAGCUAGAGUAGGGCAGAGGGUGGUGGAAUUUCCUGUGUAGCGGUGAAAUGCGUAGAUAUAGGAAGGAACACCAGUGGCGAAGGCGACCACCUGGGCUCAUACUGACACUGAGGUGCGAAAGCGUGGGGAGCAAACAGG